AUUUUUAUAUUAACUGGCAUCACACUAAAUGGUCCACUGAUAUCCCUCUCAAAGGAGGUGUUUAAAUGCUGGUGAAGGGCUCUUGGAUCAAGAGCCCUUCUCUCAUUCCCCAGGAGCUGCAUAAUCCCUAUGGCCUUGCAAUUCUCCAUAAAUAUAAUACAGUGAACCCCUGAGUUUCGGCAGCCUCGACUUUUUUUAAAUUCGACCUUCGGCGAGUUUUUUUUGGCAAAAUUUGGCCUCGAUUUUCAUGAUUAGACUCGUGUUUCGGCGACCGUCCGGUACCCGUCCGCCCGUCACUGCGCACACCAAGCCAGUCUCCCACGCCAUUCACGCUCAGUGUACCAUUGUUUACCAACACGUGACCAUCACCCCGCGGGUUCAUACAAUACAUUUCAUAAUAAUCCAUUGUUUUUUGUGCUUGCAACUGCUAAAUAAGUCAUCAUGGACCCAAGGAAAGCUAGUGCAAGCCCUUUGGUAAAUAAAGUGAGGAACACGAUCCAGAGGGAUUUUGAAGGGUUUGAGGCAGACCCUGUCCCUGCCGACCCCCUGCCUGUUGUGGAAGGUGUUGUGGCAAUGGGCAAGUCCAUGGGGUUGGAGGUGAGUAACGGGGAUGUGGAAGAGUUGGUGGAGGACCACAGGGAAGAGCUAACCACUGGCGAACUGCAAGAGCUUCAACUGGAACAGCAUCAGACCACAGCCGAGGAACUUGCUUCAGAGGAAGAGGAAGAGGGAGUGGAUGAGGUGCCUUCUUCUAAGAUUAAGGAGAUUUGUGCCAAGUGGAAUGAGUUGCAAA